UUACGGCCAUAUCACGUCGAAGCACCAGUUCCCGUGCGAUCAAAGAAGUUAAGCAACGUCGAGCCUGUUCAGUACCUGGAUGAGUGAGCACUUAGGAAUUCCGGAUGAUGUAAG